rnacentral:rRNA from 1 species
GCAUCGAUGAAGAACGCAGUAAAGUGCGAUAACUAGUGCGAAUUGCAUGAAACUGAGAGUCAUUGAGAAUUUGAACGCAACAUGCGCUGUUUGGGCGACUGGACAGCAUGGAUGUUUGAGGGUGGGGAUAAGUUGGAGGUCUUCUCUUGUACUGUACGCAUGUGCAUGUACGUGGGGAACGACACCAGAAAAUGGGCGGGAAACUGGGGGUGGCACGUGGCAGUGUAAAUCACUUGUGGUUAUCACUCGCCACGCUGUACCCUGGGGAGAACCACCUGAAAUGCAGAUUUUGGCAGCCCAUGAUUGGCUCAAGGGAUAGAGACCAUAGAGACCAGUUGAUCCUAGGAUCUAGGGGUCUUGCUUGGGACAGCAUGGGAGCCUGGGGGAUUUGAAUUAGAAUCUCAUCAUUUUACCUUUCCACCUCAAAUCAUCCAAGACUACCCGCUAAACUUAAGCAUAUCAAUAAGCGGAGGA